rnacentral:piRNA from 1 species
GUAGAGCAUCAGACUUUUAAUCUGAGGGUC